CGCGUGUACUGGUCCGGCCGGGCCUUUCCCUCUGUGGAACCCCAUGCCCUUCACUGGGUGUGGCGGGGAAACAGGACUUUUACUGUGAAAAAAUUAGAGUGCUCCAGGCAGGCCUAUGCUCGAAUACAUUAGCAUGGAAUAAUAGAAUAGGACGUGUGGUUCUAUUUUGUUGGUUUCUAGGACCGCCGUAAUGAUUAAUAGGGACAGUCGGGGGCAUCAGUAUUCAAUUGUCAGAGGUGAAAUUCUUGGAUUUAUUGAAGACUAACUACUGCGAAAGCAUUUGCCAAGGAUGUUUUCAUUAAUCAGGAACGAAAGUUAGGGGAUCGAAGACGAUCAGAUACCGUCGUAGUCUUAACCAUAAACUAUGCCGACUAGGGAUCGGACGGUGUUAUAUUUUGACCCGUUCGGCACCUUACGAGAAAUCAAAGUGCUUGGGCUCCAGGGGGAGUAUGGUCGCAAGGCUGAAACUUAAAGAAAUUGACGGAAGGGCACCACCAGGGGUGGAGCCUGCGGCUUAAUUUGACUCAACACGGGGAAACUCACCAGGUCCAGACACAAUGAGGAUUGACAGAUUGAGAGCUCUUUCUUGAUUUUGUGGGUGGUGGUGCAUGGCCGUUCUUAGUUGGUGGAGUGAUUUGUCUGCUUAAUUGUGAUAACGAACGAGACCUUAACCUGCUAAAUAGCCCGUAUUGCUUUGGCAGUACGCUGGCUUCUUAGAGGGACUAUCGG
rnacentral:rRNA from 1 species